rnacentral:rRNA from 1 species
AGUGAACGCUGGCGGUAGGCCUAACACAUGCAAGUCGAACGGCAGCACAGGAGAGCUUGCUCUCUGGGUGGCGAGUGGCGGACGGGUGAGGAAUACAUCGGAAUCUGCCCAGUCGUGGGGGAUAACGUAGGGAAACUUACGCUAAUACCGCAUACGACCUUCGGGUGAAAGAGGGGGAUCGCAAGACCUCUCGCGAUUGGAUGAGCCGAUGUCGGAUUAGCUAGUUGGCGGGGUAAUGGCACACCAAGGCGGCGAUCCGUAGCUGGUCUGAGAGGAUGAUCAGCCACACUGGAACUGAGACACGGUCCAGACUCCUACGGGAGGCAGCAGUGGGGAAUAUUGGACAAUGGGCGCAAGCCUGAUCCAGCCAUACCGCGUGGGUGAAGAAGGCCUUCGGGUUGUAAAGCCCUUUUGUUGGGAAAGAAAUCUUUCAGGCUAAUACCCUGGGAGGAUGACGGUACCCAAAGAAUAAGCACCGGCUAACUUCGUG